UCCGGCACAACACGAACACUUCCUGUUGGUGUCCCGCUGAAAGCUGCUCCCGGAAACUUAGUCUCGGUACCCCUGGGCACCGAGCACUAAAGUGUCCUGCCGCUCUGGCACCCUGAGAGGUCGGCGCGCUUUCCUGGGGAGCACGGCUGUAGAAGCCCAGGAGCACGGUCGCCUUGGCCAGCCUGGGAACGAAUCCAAGCCUGGCUGGGACUGAGCCCCUCAUUCUGGUUCCAUCCUGGAGCCAACCGUGUCGGCAGCAAGCAUCGAGACUGGCAAUUCCUGCCAGCAGCCGCGCCAGUUUGAGGGACCAAUGGUGAAAGUUGACAUCAUACGGGAUCUCUCAUCCAAUCCCACAUAAACGGAACGGUUGGUCUCAAACUGGUAACACCUUUUCUCAUUUAUUUAUUCAUUUAGUUAUUCGUUUGUUUGUUUAUAUGUUAUCUUUCUUUGAAACGGAGUCUCACUGUGUCGCCCUGCCUGGCUUUGAACUCAGAGAUUCGCCUGCCUCUGUGACCCUAAAUGCUGGGAUUAAAAGCCUGCACCACCACAUACAUCCCUGGGAUUUUAGUAAAUAAAAAUUCAAAUGACUAUUGCAUUGAAGUGGGACAAAAUGAUUCAAAUGUUGGACGGAAAUGUCAAAGACAAUUCUAAAACAGAGUAGCAAGAAGGAACCAGCUUUGCCCACCAAUCAAACCAAGCAGGAUAAUUUGAAGUAUGUUUUAAAGUUACAUUUAUAUGGAUUUUUUUGGAGAGGACCCACGCGCCUGCAACGGUGCAUGUGUGGAAAUCAGAGGACAAUUUGGGGAGUCAGUUCUCUCUUGCUGUGUAAAAGAUCUAAUGUAAGCCAUCAGACUUGGCAGUGCCUUUACCUCACAAGCCUCAAAUCAUAAUUAAAAGGUGAAGUAUUAUUGAACUAUAACACAAUAGUCUGUGGUAAACAAUUUUAAAGAUUUAAUUUUAAUUAUGUUGUAUGUGUAUAUGUCCAAAUGUUGCUUCAGGUGCCCUCAGAGACUAGAAGAGGCCACCUUAGAGCUGGAGUUUAUAAGCAGCUGAAGUGAAUGCUGGGAGCAACUCCAGUCGUUUGGAAGAGAUGUAGUCUUUCCAAGCCCUUGGCAUGAAAUAAUUUUAAUAUAUGAUGUAGGGGCUAUCAUAGUUUGGCUGUAGGAAGGAAUUCCACAAGUGCUAUUGAGAUAACUGAUUAACACUUUGAAGAAAAAGCAGCUUAGUUUUUUCAUACUUUCAUAUAUGUUAGGGCCACAGUGGAUUAAAGAGGUAAGGAAAAAACAGAGUAAGGACCUGGGAGAUGGCUCCACAGGCAAACUCACUUGCCCUUUAAGCCUGGCAAACUGAAUUCAAUGCCCAGAACCCAAGAGAGGAGAGAGCUGGCUUCCAAAAUUUGUCUCUCAUUGCUGUGGCACGUGUGCACUCAUGUUCACACACAACAUUAAUAGCAAUAAAUGUGUAUGAUAAUGAUACAGCUCGAGAUGUAGCACAGGUGGCAGAGCGCUUACACAAAACCCUGGAUUCUGUCUCCAGCACUAUAGCUGGUAUGCCAGCACAUACCUGCGAUACUCAGGAGACAGAGGCAGGAGAAAGGCAAAAGCUAGAAGCCAUCCUUCAAUGGGAGUAACAAAAGAAAAAGACGCAGGGGCCAGUGAGCUGUCUCAGCAGGUGAAGAUGCUUGCUGCCAAUCCUGAUGACCUGAUCUGGAUUCCCAGAACCCACAUGAUCAGAGGGCAAACUUAUUGUCCUCUGACCUCCAUACACACACACUAAUAAAUCUAAACAAAAAAAAAAACAAAAAAAAAAACAAAAACCAAACCUUUUUUGUUUAAAGAAGUAGAUACAGGAAAUGAAAAACAUUUAAUUUCACUAUAAAUAGAAGAAAGGGCAAAUAAAAGUAUAUUUAAUAAUUUUCACUUUAUCAAAUAUUUAUUCAAAAUCUUCUUCCCCAAUUCUGGUCAAAGUAGCAUGGCAUUGCUUCUCUCCUCCAUUGAUACUGAGACUGCAGUCUGAAACAAUCCUUUUUGGUUUUGGCUUUGUUUUUUUUCUUCGAGACAGGGUUUCUCUGUGUAGCCCUGACUGUCCUGGAACUCACUCUGUAGACCAGGCUGGCCUCGAACUCAGAGAUCUGCCUGCUUCUGCCUCCCGAGUGCUGGGAUUAAAGGCGUGCACCACCAAUAGAUGCAAAACAACCCUUUUUGGAAACCAUUUGGUAAUCUAACAAGAUUUUUACAGGUGCCAAUUCCCAGUGAUCUAACUCCAGAAUCUUGUUUCUCAACCAUCAAAAAUACAGUGAGGAGUCGGCUGGUGGUAAGUGCCUUUGACCCCAGCACUGUGGAAGCCAGCACAGGCAGAGCUCCAGGAAUUUGUGAUCAAAAGUCCCAAAAAACAUGACUAUCCCCAAUGGAGGAGCUAGAGAAAGUACCCAAGUUGCUGAAGGGGUCUGCAUCCCUAUAGGAGGAACAACAAUAUGAACUAACCAGUACCCCCCGGAGCUCGUGUCUCUAGCUGCAUAUGUAUCAGAAGAUGGCCUAGUCGGCCAUCAGUGGAAAGAGAGGCCCAUUGGUCGUGCAAAUUUUAUAUGCCUCAGUACAGGGGAACGCCAGGGCCAAGAAGUGGGAGUGGGUGGGUGGGGGAGCGUGUGGGGGACUUUUGGGAUAGCAUUGGAAAUGUAAAUGAAAUAAAUACCUAAUUAAAAAAAAAAAAGAAAAACAUGACUAUGUGUUUUGACAGUGAUGACAUAACAAUAAUGGGAAAAGUAACAUCCAAACAUUAUGUGUUAAAGAGCCAAGAUAAUAACAAUUAUUAACAGGACAGAAUGAAAAUAUGGGUCUUUCCCAGCUAUUUACGGACCCCACACAGUUUGAGACAAGCCAUCUUUCUGUCCUGCGAAGAGGGUUUUGUCUCGGUUUUUCUAACUGCUAAGCCUGAAAUCUUUUACUUUUUCUUUGUUUGCAUGCGUGCAUGAUGCCUGCCUGCGUGCGUGCGUGCGUAUGUUGGGGUGCCCAGAUGCUGCUGUGUGCAUGAGUCAGCAAACAACUGAUGGAGUUGGCUCCCUCUCCCACCAAGUGAGUUCUGAGGACUGAACUCGGCUUCAGGCUUGGUGGCAAAGCACCUUGACUCACGGAGCUAUCUUACCAAUGUUUGAUGUUCUUUUGUUUGCGUGGUUUUUGGUAUUGGGUUUGUGAAGUGGUGGUGGUGGGGUCUCAGUCUGUAGCUCAGUUAGCCUCAAACUGAUGGCAACCCUGUCUAUACCUCUGCCUCCCAAGCACAGGAAUUCUAGGCAUGAACUUCCAGCCUGUCUCUGAGAUCCUGUUCUUUUCUACAGAACAUAUGGCUUCCCCUUCCCCCGGAGUCUGAUCUCAGCCUGGCCUCAGGCUGGGCUACCGCUAAACAACCUUCUGCAGCCCAGCACUGUGCACACCAGAGUAUGAGCAUCUUCCUUGACUCCUUCCUCUUUCCUGGGACUUGGUUCUGUUCUCUAAAUACCUCUGGGCAUGAGCCCUUUUCUCGCUCUCUGUCUCUGUCUUUGCUGCAGACCAGAGCACAGUGAUCUCUCACCUGCUACCCUUAUGGAGAACCACAUCCCCACCACCUUCAAGGGUAAGGCCCCAUCAGGACUAGUCUGUAAGCCACCCCAGAUACGGGGACACCAACGAUGUGACUCUACAUCCUCUUGCUCCUAUAUCCAAAAAACUUUUUUUUCCCGAGACAGGGUUUCUCUGAUUAGCUCUGGCUAUCCUGGAACUCACUUUGUAGACCAGGCUGGCCUCUGCCUGCCUCUGCCUCCCGAGUGCUGGGAUUAAAGGCGUGUGCCACCACGCCUGCCUUCCAAGAACCUUUUGUGGCAGGGGACAAGGAAGAGGCUAAGCUCUGGACUUGAAUCCUGGCUUCUCUCCUUAGGAACUGAGAGAGUUAGUUGUCUGACCUGCUUGAACCUCUCUUCCUCCCUUGAACCUCUCUUCCUUCCUUGUGCAUGGUUUGCAUGUGGAAGCAGAAGUCUGGUGAUCAAAAAUGUAGACUUUGAUCCCAGCAUUCAGAAAGCAGAAGUAAGCAGAUUUCUGUAGUUCAAGGCCAGCCAGGACUAUAUACUGAAACCUUCCUUCAAAAAGAAAAAAAAAAAAAAUCCCAGCACUCGGGAGGUAGAGGCAGGCAGAUUUCUGAGUUCGAGGCCAGCCUGGUCUACAAAGUGAGUUCCAGGAUAGCCAGAGCUAUACAAAGAAACCCUGUCUCGGAAAAAAAAAAAAAAAAAAAAAAAAGUUUUUUUGGAUAUAGGAACAAGAGGAUGUGGGAGUGGGGGUGUGGACUUUAGGACUGGGGAUGUAGCUUCAGUGGCAGGGUGCCUGCCUAGUAUACCCAAAGCCCUGAGUGUGAGCCCCAGCACCACAUAAACCAGGCAUUUGGAUGCAUGCUUGUAAUCCCAGCCCUGGGCAGGUAAAGGCAGGAGUCUCAAAGGUCAAGGUCAUCCUCAGCAACACAGCAAGCUCAAGGUCAACCUGUAAUGUAUGAGCUCUUCCCUCUGAAAAAGGAAAUGUAGCCUUUGAAACUGACUGCCUGGAUGCAAAUUCCUUUCUCUGGCGAUAUAUACAAUUCAUAGAGCCUCAAAGCCUCAGUCUUAUGUAUCAAAAAUGGGGAUAUUUAUCCUAUGUACAUCAUAGGGUUGUUGUGACAGACUACUCCAAGUACUUAACUUAAGCACUAGCAUCAGGAAGAACUCAGUAUUGUCAGUACUGGUGACAGAAAGCAUCUGUCAUUGAGUUUGAACCAUGAAGUCGGAUCAGUAAUCCCUGUCCUCCCUCACCCUUUUUCCCAGGAUCAGGCAGGAUGCGUACACCUGCCAUGGUCACACUCAAGACGUGUAGACUUCCGUUCCAGAUCUUGUCACAGGGCUGAGCAGGGGCACACUAAGACUGGGGUUCUCGUCUAGGAUUGUGACUCAGCUAGAAGACCAUAAACACGAGACAAGAACCCAGUCGUGUGGAGGAAUUCUUUCCCGAAGAGUACUCACUCCUAAGAAGUUCUCCAAGUACAAAACAACAAAAAGAGUCAUACCAAAAAAUACGGUCUGGGACUUGUUGGUGUAGACAGUGGUGGAUCACUCACCUAGCAAGCAUGGAGCACUAGGUUUAAGUACCAGCACUAUUUAUUAAAAAGAAAAUAUUUUAAAAAUAUAAAAAGUUGGCCCAGUGGAAUGAGUCAAGACUUGUGGACCGGCUAGACACAGCUGGGAAGGCUGAAGGCCUUCCCAAAAAUGGCAUCUUUAGGACAGCAGCCAGAUAGGUGUGUGAUAACUAGCUUUAUGUCAACCUGACAGAAGCUAGAGUACCCCGGCCCAGCCCAUUCUAGGUAAUGCCAUUACUGGGCUGGUGGUCCUGGGUUCUAGAAGAAAGCAAACAGAGCGAGCCAGUUUGCAGCACACCACGCUCUCUGCUCCUGCCUCCAGGUUCCUGCCCUGCUUGAGCUCCUGCUCUCACUGCUUUACUGGUGAUGAACUGUUCUACGGAUCUGUGAGUGAAAUAAACCCUUCCCUCCCCAA